UCUGGCUUCCUUGAGGAGGAAAGUUGGAAGGAGAAAGAAGGACAGGAAGAGUGAAGGGAGAAAGGACAGAAGAUAACUUGAUUUCCCUAAAACAUUUGAUAUAUAAGAACUACAACUUGAACUGUUACACUUCCUUACUUUGAAGAGAAUUCUUGGGCUAUAUGUAAUUGCCUAUAUGAGUCCAGUAAAGCUUGAUCUUUAUUGGUUUUCAAAUUGUUUAUCCUUUUCCCAACAAACCCUGUCCUGGCAGACAUUCUCCAGCAGGUGCAGAGUUAGUUCUCUCUCCCUGUGGGGUUAAGAGCAAAGGCAGCCAGACUGUUUAGUGGUUGGGAUGCUGCUGCCUAGCAACGGAACUCAAGUUGUGAUUCCCAAGGAGAAUACUGAUAAUCAGGAAGAAAGGAAUAAGCUGAAUUCAGCAGCUUCUCUCUAGUGGUAGGAACUGGAUUCAUCAGGGCAACUUUCCUAAUAGGAGAGAAAAAGAAAUGGGUCAACGUGGAGCAUGGAUGGAGGAAAGAUACUACCACCUUCAUUACCAUAUGGAAGCAAGUUUGAUCAGCAGGGCAACCAAGAUAUCCACCAGAUCUCCUUUGUUUUGCAAUAUCAUCAGUUACAUAUAACAGUCUCAUACCAAAGGAGUUGGGAAGUUGAUCCCAGUGCAUGGUACCCCUGGAUGGUUCCCAAGAGAGAAGGGAAUACAGAAAGAGAUAUUGAAGAGUGCCAAAGAAGCACAAAGCUACUUGCAUAGUGCCAAAGAAUACAAGGUCAAAGAGACCAAACCAAUACUACAUGGACUGAUGACAUUCUGCACAAAGAGCUCAAGGACAUGAUCAUGUGUGAGACUCAAUGUUAAGGCUUUUUAAUAUGUGUUAAAUGCAGAACUUUCUUGUAUCACAUACUCUACAUCAAAUACAUGACAUUAAUUGUUCUGGCUCCAGUAUCCAUGAGAAAAAUAUGUAAUAUCAGACCAGAGAAUGACACUUCCCUAUCAGUCCCUUUUUCUCUUUUAUAGUGUGGCAACUUUUUGUAGUCUUGGCUACAAAUGGAAAAGUGAAAUAUUACUACAUUUUGUCCUAUAGACUUGUGGGAUAAAAAUCACUUUAGUUGGGCCCUGAUUCAAGAACCUGUUAUGGAUUUAUUUUUCCUUUACUUAGAAUUUUUACACAUAAGACUUUGAUAGUCUACAUUUCAUCCAGAAGUUAUCUUUUCUCUUUUAUUUGGAUUUAUUUUGAUGAUUUUGAUUUCUCUUGCCAAUUGAUUCAUACACCUCAUAACUCAGUCAUACAUUCCUAAGUUAUCCCUAUGUUUUUCAACACCCUCUUCAGGAGGGAAUGUAUAAUUAUUCUAAAUUGCAAAGUUUAAAUUCUUUUUGAGAGUAAUUUUAGGUUAAGAAACAUGAUACCUCUCCAAAUAUAGAAAGUGAACUCUUUGGUGAAUGCACCAUGAAGAUGCCUCCACAGACCAUACCCUACACCAGAAGAUCCAAAGUGAAUUUUGGGAUGUGGUGAUUUGAACUGUGUGAGGUUGAAUGCAUUUGUUUUGUAUGUAUGCUCUUAUGCCAAAGGGGACUGCCCCCUAACUGACUUUUUAUCAAUGUACCCAGCAAUUAUUGGUUUUGUUCUCUUUUCUUAUCCUCAAAUUAUUGCAAUUUCAAAGUUGGUAUGUUUACAAGAUCCUUCGGAGAGACUAGUCUUCCUCAGCUCUCAGGGGGAAAUAUAUAUUUGAAAAUCUAUUACCCUAAAAAAGAACUACAUAUCCUGAGAGCCCACUUACUUUUUGUUGUUACUUACUUCCUGAAGGCAGAGGAUAAAGUAAGUGGGAGUUGAGGCUCUCCUCCUCUUUUUGGCAUGAUGCAGCAAUCAUGGUGGCAUGGUAAGGUGGGGAUUUCUAAAUGGCUAAUAAGUCAUGGGCACAUUGUUUUUAUUUUGUAUCCUCUUUAUUCCUUGAUUUCUCAUGAUAGUUAAUAAAUCCCUUAAAUAUAAUAUUUUUAUUAUUUGA
ensembl:lncRNA